rnacentral:rRNA from 1 species
GACGAACCGUGCAAACGUUGUUCGGAAUCACUGGGCUUAAAGGGCGCGUAGGCGGGCAAGCAAGUCGAAGGUGAAAUCCCACGGCUCAACCGUGGAAGUGCCCCCGAUACUGCUUGUCUUGAGGGAGAUAGGGGCGUGCGGAACUUCCGGUGGAGCGGUGAAAUGCGUAGAUAUCGGAAGGAACACCGGUGGCGAAAGCGGCGCGCUGGAUCUCUUCUGACGCUGAGGCGCGAAAGCUAGGGGAGCGAACGGG